UUUUCACGCGAGGUUAAAUGAUUUCGAAUAAUGCUUUUUUUUUUUAAAAAUUUUCCCUUUUUGGUUAUAGGGUGAUUAAAAUUUAUUUAAUGAUUUUAAAUAUCUCGAAAAUAAGGGAGCUAAAUUUAUAUUAUUUUUUUUGUAGCAAUAAAAUUAUAAAUAUAGAUUUAGAAAUUAAAUGUUAAACGAACUUAUUAAUAUCUAGUUUUUUUAGAAAUAAAUUUAAUUUAGAUAUAAUUAUUUUAGUAAAUUAAAUUUUAUUUUAAUUUAUUAAUUUUUAUAUUAAAAAUUUAUGGGAUAAUCUAUAAAUUUAAGAUAAAAAUUUAAUUUUAAUUUUUAAUGUUAUAGAGAUAAUAUUUUUCUUUAAUUUUAAUAAUUUAAUAAUUUAAUAUUUAUAAAUUAAUAAUGAUUUAAAUUUAUAUUUUAUUUUUCUAUAAAAAUUUAUAUUUUAAUUAAUAAAAUAUAGAAAUAAUGAUUAGAUUAGUAAUAAAGUUAUAUUUUAUAAUGAUAUUUUGUAUUAUAUAAUUUAAAGGAAUUCGGCAAAUAUAUUAUUCACCUGUUUAUCAAAAACAUGUCCUGUUGAUUAUAAUUUUAGGUCGAUCUGCUCAAUGAAUUAUUUUAAAUAGCUGCAGUAUGUUGACUGUACAAAGGUAGCAUAAUAAAUUGUCUUUUAAUUGAAGAAUUGUAUGAAAGAAUUAAUGAAAUAAUAACUGUCUCUAAAUUAUUAAAUGAAUUUAAAUUUUUAGUUAAAAUUCUAAAAUUUAAUUAUGGGACGAUAAGACCCUAUAGAAUUUAAUUUAAUUUUUAAAUUUAUUUAUAAUUUUAAUAAAUAUAUUUAAGAUUAAAUUUGAUUGGGAGGAUUGGUAAAUUUAAUAAACUUUAUUUAAGAUUUAAUUUUGAUAUAAAGAUAAUUUUUUGAAUUAUAAAUUGUAAUUAAAAGAAUAAAUUACCUUAGGGAUAACAGCGUAAUAUCUUUUGAUAGACCAUAUAGAUAAAGAUGUUGACACCCCCCCAGUGUGGGC
rnacentral:rRNA from 1 species